rnacentral:tRNA from 1 species
UGCCUGCUUAGCUCAACUGGUUAGAGCAUCCGUUUCAUACGCGGAAGGCUGCUAGUUCAAUUCUAGUAGUAGGCAU